rnacentral:rRNA from 1 species
UACGUAGGGGGCUAGCGUUGUCCGGAUUUAUUGGGCGUAAAGAGCGUGUAGGCGGCCAGGUAGGUCUGGUGUGAAAACUCGAGGCUUAACCUCGAGAUGUCAUCGGAAACCAUCUGGCUAGAGUCCGGAAGAGGAGAGUGGAAUUCCUGGUGUAGCGGUGAGAUGCGCAGAUAUCAGGAAGAACACCGAUGGCGAAGGCAGGUCUCUGGGCCACUACUGACGCUGAGAAGCGAAAGCAUGGGGAGCGAACAGG